GGAAGAUUGCUUUUAUUUAAUUCAAUUGUGCCCCGUUUAAUAGGACUCAAGAAACGUGUACUUGUAAUAUCAUAUAUUCAUUUUUCGAUCGAUCACAAUAUACAAUGUAUCCAUAUGUUAAAGAAAAAUAGCAACAAAAGUUAUGUCUGCAAGCAUUGCCCAAAUAAAAAAGACGGUUAAUAUUUAUUUACAAAAUAUCUUGAAAUCUGCCACUGAAAACUCGUACAUAGCUUGUGCUUUAAUUUGAAAUACCAACAGAAGUUAUAUAGAAUUUCACAUUGAAAUUACCUGAAAAUUGCUUGACAAAAUUAUUUUACGCUGGUUGGGAACGUCAUGCACAUGUGACGAUGGCAUUCUAAUCCAAGAGAGACAAAUGCAUUUUGCUUGAAAUGAGUUGUAACAAAUUUUGUAACAAAAAUGACAAAGAAAAUCUGCAUUAUGGUUUUGAAAUACGGUGAAUCUUUCUUCCAUCAAGGAAAACUAUUUUUUUGUUGGUUUUUCAGUAUUUCCCUUUAAAUUAAGGAUCAUUUUUGUCUUCUUUUUAUUUAACACAACUUAUACUUGUUUAAAAUAUCAGAAGUUGCGAUGGUAAUGAUUUCGUACUCAAUCUACCUACUAUCAUCUGAAGUUCUUCUGGUUCAUUAUGGUAAUACUUCACCAAUGUCUAUUAUAUGGUUUGUUUCCUCUUCAUCAUUAUUCACACGAUUCCUGGCUUGUAUUUGGUUGUUUUAUUUCUUCAUAAGCGCGAGUGAUCCGCUUUGACUUGUAUCGUGCUGAAACUUUGAUGGUUUUUGCUCCAUCUUUGAUGACAUUUUCGUCUCCAUCUUUGAUGACAUUUUCUUCAUGUUAAUUAGUCCGUAGCGCAUAAUAACGGUAUUAUGAUGGCGACUUAAGUUCCCUUGGGCAGGAAGGCACGUUGCCAACUUCAUUGGAAAAUAAUUCAAAGGUACAAUAUACACAAAGAAGAAUUCAAAUGGAUGAACAGUUUGCAAAGACCGAAUACAUCCGCACAGCUUUUCAAUCACGUACAUAUAACAACCACACAAAGAGUUACCUACACUAAUUGAAAGACCACAUUCAACUACAGACAUUGGACCAUUUUACAUUCACGUACAUACAUUGGACAAUUUUACAUCCACGUACAUACAUUGGACAAUUUUACAUUCACCUAUAGACACUGGACAAUUUUACAUGAAAUAUCAUAAGAAAUCCAAAAGAAGUAAUAUAUUUUAUUGAUCACAUGUAGACCACGAAAAUCAGUGCUCCUAAAGGUCACUUGGUCGUAUUUCAGACAGCGUACUUCAUAUUAUGUCGAAUUUCCCAGAGCAAAAAUUUGAUUUAGAACAAUAAAAAAGGCAUUAUUAGUGCCUUUGUGCCCAAUGAUUGCUUUUGUGCCAGACAAAUACCGGCUCCCCCGACUUUGGUAUUGAGAAAAAACGAAUGUGGACCGGCCUUUGACACCCGGAGAUUUAUACCCGAAGAUUUGUGCCCUGAGAAAAAAACGGUUGUUCGAUUUGACAAACUCGUGGUCGAGGAAUUUUCAGAACUGCUGCUGUUGUAUGAUAGCAUGGAUAAUAAAAUAAAUGGAUAGGAAACUAGCUGACGUGACCUAAUGUUUUUACUGGGAUUGAUGGCAUGGUUGGAUGCCUCAACCUAUAGUUGAAAAUCAAAUUCUCAAAAACGGCAUGUUUAGCAAUAAUACAGCUAAACAUUUUAGUCAAAGAGCAAAUAAAUGUAACCACGCCAUUCUACGAUGAAAACUCUAAGUAUUCCCAGUCAAUUUUAGCAAAUAUUUCAAGCACUAAACAGUGAAAAAUACAUCGCAAAUUUCGUUAAAAUUUGUGACGCCAAUUUCGUAGCUACAAAUGUAAAAAAAUACAAAACAAAGACGAAAAACAUUUACCUUGAAUACUUUGUCGUGGCUUAGGCAUGUUUUUAAAACAAUUAGACCAGUUUACGCUUCAAGAUCACCUUUUUAAAGUGGAAAAUAUAGCAAAACAACAAAUAUGCCGAUAACUUUGGUAACAUUCGCAAUACGCGUGACGUCACGUUUUUCAACAAGGAUGCAGUCAAUGACGUCAGAAGUUUCCAAUCCAUUUAUUUUAUUAUCCAUGAUGAUAGCUUCUUUUGUGAUUACGUCGAGGAUAACUAAUAUAAAUAAGUAUAUUUGGGGACAAAAGCUUCAAGUACAUUAUUGCUGAUCUAGAACGGUAAAAAACUUACUUAUUUUGUAAUAUAUAGCGACGUAAUUGCAUGCGAAUUGUUAUGUUUUAUUUUCUUGUAUUUAUAUCGCUAAUAUUAGUUGUUUGGCUAAGUACUUUGUUGCCUUGACUAAAUGUGCUUUUAAUUGGACCUUUCGAGUCAUAUGUAGUGUGUUUGUAAUGUAAAAUUAUCUAUUUAUGUAGCGUAAAUUAUAUAAAACGUAUCUUGUGGAGUAUCAGUGUGGAAUAGCCAGCGUGGCAGGCUCUUUUAUAAGUAGAGCCUGCCCGAAAGCCCAAGUCAAACUGAUGACUCUCGCCAGGCAGCCGCCGAGAAUUGUGAUUGGCUGAAUUUACGUUGACGACAGUUUGAUUGACAUGUUACGCUAAUUUACAGUAAAAACAAACGGCAUCGCUAUAUUAAAGUGUAAACCUGUCGGCUAAAAUAUAAAAUUCAAAAGACAAAGUGUAAAAUGUAUAACAUAUACCGGUAUCUAAACAGCAUACGGCAAGCCAUACUGCUAUUACUGCAUAUGUCGUAUUAUUUUACCGUAUGGUCACUA